AUGUGCAGAACGCAUAGCACCACGUCGUCGUCCCCGUCCUCCGCCCAUGGCUUGCAGCAGGCGACUGUAGUCGUCGAGGGUGCGCGCCGGAGAGGACGCGGGCCUAGCUGGAGAGGGGGUGGGGGCGGUGAGAGGCUGCUGCCUGAGCCAUCUGUCGAUUUCGACCCGUCUGAUCUCAUCUUCAUGGCCGUGGCGAGGCUGGAGAUUGCGUCAUUCCCUCUCGCCACCUCCCUCGCCCGUGGCUCGCCGCCGUGGCUAGCCUUCGGCCCGUCCUGCGCAUGGCGUCCGACGACAGGGCCAACGCCGCGGAGGUGGACAAGACAGACGAGCCGACGGUGCCGGCACGGAUGAUUACGACGGUGGGCAAGGCGAUGAAGGAGUCCGAGCGGCGGACGUACCUGGUGGCCGCGGUGAUAUCCAGCCUCGGGAUCACCUCCAUGGCCGCUGCCGCCGUCUACUACUGAUUCGCCUGGUAGUGGCAAAUGGAGGGAGGUAAGAUUCCGGCGACGAAAUCCCACGGUGAGCACACCUGAGGCACGCACCAGCCGAAUCGAUGUGCAUUUUUGGUCAAUAUUUGCUAAUUUGUGGGGAUGGCUCGCACAGGCUAGGAUGGAGUAAAUAAAUGUGCGGGAGGCUGAAGCUGCGCCCCUGUUAAGAUUGGAUAUGUUUUUAGGUUAUUAGGAAUGAAUUCGCCAAAAACAUGUAGAUUUUUGUACCUUUGCCCUCUUUAUUCUUGCUGUGUUUGGACUGUUCAUAGUCUAGAUAGAUUUUGCAGAGUCGCAGUAGUAGCUGGCUCUGCUCGGUGUGUAAGUCGUGCUUGGUUCCUAGCCUGCUCCUUCUACUUCCCUUUGAGCCCCUGGGGCGUCACUGCUGAAGAUGACUCAGUGGUAUAGCCAUGGUUGAUCUCCUUCUUUAUUUUCAUCUUUCUGUUCAGCACUUGUUUCUAUGCUUUGCUGUUGCAGAAAAAUGUUUUUUAGGCUUCAGGUAUUUCAGUAACAAAGGAUUGAUAAUAUUAAUCUUGAGAUUCUGGGAUGCUCCUAAUGGAGUUUCUUUUUUUGCGGGGAACGGAGUUCAAAGUUUAGUCGAUGUGAUUAUUAGAAAAUUUAGUCAAUUCGCUGGUCCAUCUAUGUUUGAUCAUCUGGUCUACAAGCCUUUACCUGUACAUAUUGUUUUGAUUGCUAAACUCAAAGUGCUUCUUUGUACUUACCUAGAAGACCCUUUUGGCAGCAAAUGAAAAUCGAAAUAUGCAAGAUUUCAUGAAUACAUUUAACUGCAUAUGUGUUAUCCUUUUCAACUAAGAUACACUUCAGAGUUUCUCCAUGUAGUGGGAUGCCAGAGUAGUUCAUCAAGUGAUCUUUCCAUGUCAAGACAUGUGUUACUUUAGAGAUAAUGCAUAAAUAUGCUGAAGAUAGACUUUUUGACAGUUAAGGAUGCACGAGAUUGUACUUGCACUAAAAUUCAGUUUAUAAGAUUCUCUAGAUAGUUAAUGAAGCAUGCUUAAUUUGCAUGUGGUGUCAGAAACUAAUGCGUGCUGAAACUAAUGUGGGAUGGUAAUGUAUCUUCCACAGUUUUUCAUGUUAAGGUCGUGAAAACAGGUGUGAGAGCAUCUGCAGGAGACAAAUCAUCUCUUUGCAUCAUUCAUUUCUGUUAUACAUGCAACAAGAUAUUGUCUUGGGUAAUGAAGUUCUUCCCCCAUCUUAGGACAUAUGGUUUUUAAGUAGUGUAGCUUGAAAGUAUGUAUUAUCGCUACUAAAUUUAACAUGUAUAAAUCAGUUUUGGUUUGCUAAAUACCUUCAUAUUGUUAUUACUAAAUUUAACAUAUAUAAAUUAAUUUUGAUUUCCUAAAUGCCUUCACAGAUAAUCAUUCAGAGCAAUCUCAGUGUUAGACCUCUAUUUAUUUGCCGGUUACAAAGGAUUUGGUUGGAUCAGUUUUAGCUCUGCCACGAUCAGUUCAAAUAAAUCAUGAAAGAUCCUUGGUUUUUCCUUUUUCAUGCAUGUUUAUUAGGUUAGCUGUACGCAUGUUAGGUUCUUGGUUUUAGUUGUCCCCUGCUGCACUGGUAUGUUUACGCUUCAUAUUAUUGUAGCUUUCUACAGAUCAUGGAUACGUGCUGUCAAAACAUUGCUCUGCUCCUAACUGCAUUGCUCAGUCUCUUAUUUCUUAUUUUUGGCUUUGAGAUCAGAUGUAAGUGUCGCCUGUUAUAUUGAUGCACUACAGUGAUCUUAGCAAACGAUUUAUUAGGCGUUUUUUGUUAAACAGGAAUUGAUCUAGGGUGAAAAGAGAUAUUUAAAACAAUGAUUAUGCACCUCAUGUUGACCUGUGAUGCCCAUUAUCUACAUGCAAGAGCAGAACUGGAGCUACAAUCAUGCUAGAAUUAUAUUUCUGCACGACACCUGACACUGAGCAUAAGAACUCUACAUUAUCCAUGAUGUGCUCUUUACAAUCAAUUUCUUGGAUCGGUUAUAUGCUAUGCUUCCAUUGGAUUCUGAUUUGAUGCGCACAUCAAAAUUACGUGGGUAAGUUGGCAGAAAAUACAUAGCCUCUCCAAAAAUACUUCUAUUUCUAGGUGCAGCAUACCAUUACAGCUUCAAAUUAAGAAGUCAUUUGAAUAAAGAGAUGUAUCUCUAACAUAUUGCCCUGUUGGUGUGUCUCAAAAAAUACGUGGGGUACACUCGAUGUUCUUUCAUUUAUAUAUGGUUUUUGUUCUACAUUUUUUGGGUGAAAUUCUUAGUGUACACACUUCGUCACUGCAUUAUCGUCUUAUAUUUUUCUAAUGUGAUUCCCUAUUUCUGUAUAAACAAAAAUCUAGGUUGAAUUGUAAGAGGAUGAAGUGUUUUUGUUGAUACACCGAAUCUAGGACUUGCGGCUUACCAUGACAAGUGUUGCUCUGUUUCAAGGAAUCCAUUUUUUCAAAUGAAUUCAAAUUAUUCACAACUGAACCUACAAGGUUGCUCUGGUCAAAGGAAUGUGUGCAUAUAGAGGACAUGGGCAUAGAUUGUCGACUAAGGUAGCUGAAAAAUUCACCGAAGCGGAGAAUGGAAAGGGUAAUUGUUGAGGGUAUUACUAUUUGCCCAUGAUAGUACUACUGUGGAGAAUUGGGGAGAAGAGGGUAAAAGGCAUUCUCUUCUAUUAUUGAUGUUUCAAGUUCUGUAUAGAAGGGUUCUUAUAUGAGGAUGAGAUUGUUCUCUUUUAAGGAGUUAGCCCAUAGAUCUUUUCACCAUAUAUUCUGUCUAAGAUUAAAGUUUAAGGCUGCUUAUGUAAAUGUCAAAUUGUAGAUAGAUUAUAAGCUUUUAGAUUAGUUAUGUUUCCCCAAUACUGUCUCUGGUUGAUCUGAAUGCCACUCUUCUUUUACCAUCAAUAGUAGUACCACUAAGAAAUGCGGCCACUUUUUUUUUGUAGUUGAAAGCAGAUGUUUGUUAUAAUCCUCUAAGUAUUGUGAAUAUAUUC